rnacentral:rRNA from 3 species
AAAACAUAGCCUAUAACUUAACUUUAGGUACAACCCUGCCCUCUGAAAUUUUAACAGCCGCGGUAUCCUAACCGUGCUAAGGUAGCAUAAUCAUUUGCCUAUUAAUUAUAGGCUAGCAUGAACGGGAUCACUCACUUAAAUUUAUUUUCACUACAAUUAAAAUUAAACUUUAAGUUAAAAUACUAAAUUUUUAAGAAAGACAAAAAGACCCUGAAAACUAUUAGAAGAUAAUUAGUUGGGGCAACUAUAGACCAUAAACAGCGUCUAUUAAAAUUCGAAUUUUAAAAUUCAAAGCACACAGUUACUUCAGGGAUAACAGACUAAUUGUAUUAUUUAGACCUAAUAAAUAAUAAAGAUUGGCACCUCGAUGUUGGCUUAUAAUUCCUUCAUAUAGUAACAUAUAUUGAUGGCAGCUUGUUCAUCUGAUAAAUAUUUACGUGAC